rnacentral:lncRNA from 1 species
CAAGAAGCUCUCAAAAUGAUCAACUAUGGAGAAAUAAUUACCCAAAAUUACGGAUGAAGUGACUUAAAACAUUCUACCCAGCACUGACCGAUCCUUCACCGCGAUCACAACACAAGCCUCAUGAUCGCAUAGCACAAACUACCAUGCCCUCAAAUUUAUUCUACACGAACGCAACAUAAUCAAUGCGAACACGAUACACUGCAUAAUCACGUUAUGCGAUCGCAGACAAUAUUCCGCGUUUCUGAUGAAAAAAUCCAACCAAGACUUCAAGUACAUUUUUACUCUAUGCGAACGUAACAUGCCCUUACGAAUUCGCGAUCAACAAAUUUUACCCUACUAUGAUAUCGCGUCCCUACCUAUGCUAACGUUAAGCAUAAUUGAACUGCUUCCUCCAAAGUCUCUAUGCGAUCACGAGAGAACCAAUGCGAUCUCGAUGAACUAAAUGCCUGAAUUGAAACCUGCAAUUUCUGAAGUCUUCAAAGCAUGAAAUUGAUCCGUUUAGCCUCCCGAAACACGCCUGAGUCCCUCGGGACCUCAACCCAACCAACCAACAUAACCCAUAACAUCAUUAAAACUUGUUCCAAUAUCAAAAUACCUCAAAAACAUCAGAUUACUCAAAACUAAUUGAAUUCAAGCCUAAUUAUUCUAAAAGCUUCCGAAAUACACUUUGAUCAAAAACCCGAAUGACCUAAAAUUUUUCACACAUAUUCCAAAUGACAUAACGAAGCUACUGUAACUCUCGAAAUUCCAUUCCAACCUCUAUAUCAAAAUCUCACCUAUCAAUAGGAAAACACGAAGAUUUUAUUUUCGCCAAUUCAAGCCUAAACUUUCCACGGACUUCCAAAAUGCAUUCCAAUCACGCUCCCAAGUCCCAAAUCACUUAACGGAUCUAACUAAAGCAUAAAAAUUUGGAUCAGGAGCUCAUAUACAAAUAAGCCAACCAUUGGUCAAAACUUUUUAAUUCAAAGCUUUCAACUGAGAUUGUUCCUUCAAAUUCAUUCUGAUUUUCCUAAAAACCAAAACCAACGAUCUGCAUCAGUCAUAAUAAUUACACGGGGAAAGCCAUGCCCGAAAACUGACGAUCAAAGUACAAAAUCUCAAAACGACUGAUCGGUUCAUUAUACUAUUCAAAGAAAAUUCCUUCUAGGAUGUGUACUCCCCAUUGUUAUCCAACUGAGGCUCUUAAUUUACAAUGAGAAAGACAUCCACAUGUCCUUGUAAAUCAUAUGGCUAUGCACAACUACCAAAUGAAUAAAUAACAUACUGUAAUUAGAUGUCACUGCAAAAAUAAUUUUUAACCUGCAUCGACAUUUAAAGAACAAAUUAUAUUGCAAUGGGUGAUGUGUCAACUCUACAUUGAUUUAAGGAUAAUAAACUUCCUUAAGCUUAUGACAUAGAUAACUCAGUUAUGACAAUAGAAGGAUGGAAUAAGACUUGUAAGCAAACUCAAAAAAACUAGAACAUACGAUAUCACAGGAACAACAAUUCAAAUUUCAUUUAUACGUUUCCAAGAGAUACCAUGGGUGAGAUUUCAACAUACCUAAAGCAGAAAUCAAAGAAAUGUGACAAUUAGAGGCUAGAAAACUAGUGAAGGAAGCUCAACAAACUCAAAAAGAAAGCAGCAAGUAAAAAGAGAAACAUCAAUAAACUCCCAGAAUGAGCCUCAACCUCAGUUUGUUGAUGAAGAAAAAAACAAACUUAUGAAGCUUGUAUGAGUGAACAUCUGUGAAAAUGCAGGGUUCAUAUGUGUUUUUUUAAAUCCAAAGAUUGAUGUAUUUUAUAGAAGAAAAAAAUGCAGAUCCUUUUUAGCCCCUGAAAUGAGUGUGUGAGUGAGUCUUAUAUAGAGGGUGAGUGUGUUAAGGGAUAUGGAAUAAUCUGGGAAGGUACAACCUCUAAAAAUAAGGAAAAGA